UACGAAGGGUGCAAGCGUUACUCGGAAUUACUGGGCGUAAAGGGUGCGUAGGUGGUUUGUUAAGUCUGCUGUGAAAUCCCCGGGCUCAACCUGGGAAUGGCAGUGGAUACUGGCAAGCUAGAGUGCGGUAGAGGGUAGUGGAAUUCCCGGUGUAGCAGUGAAAUGCGUAGAGAUCGGGAGGAACACCAGUGGCGAAGGCAGUGUCCUGGGGAGUACCUGACGCUCAGGUGCGAAAGCCAGGGGAGCGAACGGG
rnacentral:rRNA from 1 species